GUGAGGAAUAUUGCGCAAUGGAGGCAACUCUGACGCAGCCAUGCCGCGUGCAGGAAGAAGGCGCUACGCGUUGUAAACUGCUUUUAACCGGGAAGAAACCCCAGGACGUGUCCUGGGUUGACGGUACCGGAGGAAUAAGCACCGGCUAACUUCGUGCCAGCAGCCGCGGUAAUACGAAGGGUGCAAGCGUUAUCCGGAUUCAUUGGGUUUAAAGGGUGCGUAGGCGGAGCGUUAAGUCAGUGGUGAAAUCCUGCAGCGUAACUGUAGACUUGCCAUUGAUACUGGCGCUCUUGAGUGCGCUUGAAGUGGGCGGAAUGUGCCGUGUAGCGGUGAAAUGCUUAGAUAUGGCACAGAACACCAAUUGCGAAGGCAGCUCACUAAGGCGAUACUGACGCUGAGGCACGAAAGCGUGGGGAUCGAACAGGAUUAGAUACCCGAGUAGUCC
rnacentral:rRNA from 1 species